AUCGGAGCGAGAACAGUUGUUAGGGUUUUUUAUUUUGAAAUCGAUUUGUUUACCUGUUGUUCUUGGUUGUCCUUUAGUUGUUAGGGUUUUUGAUUUCAAAAAUGAUUUGUUUAUUUUUUAUAAAUUGAAACCGCUUUUGUUAUGUUUUUUAAGGUUGAAGUAUUUGGUUCUAAAAUUCAGCAGGUUAUAGGUAAAGAUCAAUCCAAUCAAAUCCUCACUGUUGUUCCUCUCUAUCUCCAAACAAAAACUCGUGCUCCUAAUGAUGCAGCGGACGCCAUGCUCUGAGAAAGCGACUUGAAGAGCUUGGAUACGAACUUAAAGACAACCAUGUUGAGAGUUUGUUUUGGCGUUUCAAAGCUGUGUCUGAGCAAAAGAAGAGGAUUAGUGAUGCUGAUUUCAAAGCAUUGGUAUCAGAUGAAGUUUUUCAGGCGGAGCCUAUAUGGAAGCUAUCAAUGUUUAACAAGCUUUCAAUGUUUUAUAUUGCCAUUUUUCUCGGCAGUGUUGCAAAGCAUUUGGAAUCAGCCAAUACUAUGUUGUCAUUUAUUUGGUGGAUUAUUGGAUUCUACUGGUUAUCAGCUGGUGGUAAAACUUUAUCCCAAGAUUCUCCUCAGCUUUACUGGUUUGUCCUCUUUCACUAUCUCAUUCAAAUUGUUCAAACAUGUUUUCAUUUCGAUUUCUUAAUCUUUUGGCAGGUCAACUGAUAUUUACUUAUUUUAGUUGAAUGCUUAUGACAUAAUAAUUGGUAUCGCUAUUUGCUGGUGUCUUCCAUGUAUCAUUGCACUUCUUCAGGUGUAGAUUGGUUUAUUGAAUCAGUUCUGACUUUGUGAUGCAGGUUCGGUCCAAAUAGCAAGAGCAGAUUGGUUCAUUGAGUCAGUUCUGACUUUGUGAUGCAGGCUCGGUCCAAAUUGUUGUUGUGGUAGAAUGGAUAUUUCGGUUUGCUUGGAUAUUUCUGAAUUUUGAUUAGGUGCCUGGCUGUAAUUGGAUCAUGUACAAAUCAAAAAGGAACAACACUUCACAAAUCGGAAUUUCAUAGAAGCGGUAAGCAAACAUUGAGUUUCAUUGUAGAUCAUAAAAUCCAUUAUAUUUACAAGGUAUAGAAUUGUAUUUUUUCCUUUUUCCAUACUGUGAUGCCACUGGUGAAGCAAUGUGAAGAGGUUAUGGUGCACUUUAAGAUGGAUAACAAGUUGUUUGACACGAGUAAGAAUGUGGAGUUAACGUAUCCAGGGCAGCACAAUGAUGUAGACAUCUAUAU